rnacentral:rRNA from 1 species
CCCUUGACUCUGGGAUAAGCCUGGGAAACUGGGUCUAAUACUGGAUACUACCUCUUGCCGCAUGGUGGGUGGUGGAAAGGGUUUUACUGGUUUUGGAUGGGCUCACGGCCUAUCAGCUUGUUGGUGGGGUAAUGGCUCACCAAGGCGACGACGGGUAGCCGGCCUGAGAGGGUGACCGGCCACACUGGGACUGAGACACGGCCCAGACUCCUACGGGAGGCAGCAGUGGGGAAUAUUGCACAAUGGGCGGAAGCCUGAUGCAGCGACGCCGCGUGAGGGAUGACGGCCUUCGGGUUGUAAACCUCUUUCAGUAGGGAAGAAGCGAGAGUGACGGUACCUGCAGAAGAAGCGCCGGCUAACUACGUGCCAGCAGCCGCGGUAAUACGUAGGGCGCAAGCGUUGUCCGGAAUUAUUGGGCGUAAAGAGCUCGUAGGCGGUUUGUCGCGUCUGCUGUGAAAGCCCGGGGCUCAACCCCGGGUCUGCAGUGGGUACGGGCAGACUAGAGUGCAGUAGGGGAGACUGGAAUUCCUGGUGUAGCGGUGAAAUGCGCAGAUAUCAGGAGGAACACCGAUGGCGAAGGCAGGUCUCUGGGCUGUUACUGACGCUGAGGAGCGAAAGCAUGGGGAGCGAACAGGAUUAGAUACCCUGGUAGUCCAUGCCGUAAACGUUGGGCACUAGGUGUGGGGGACAUUCCACGUUU